rnacentral:rRNA from 1 species
UACGUAGGGGGCGAGCGUUGUCCGGAUUUAUUGGGCGUAAAGGGCGCGUAGGCGGCGCGGAUAGUCGGCGGUGAAAGCCCGGAGCUCAACUCCGGGUCGGCCGUCGAUACUUCCGGGCUUGAGCACUGUAGAGGCAGAUGGAAUUCCGGGUGUAGCGGUGGAAUGCGUAGAGAUCCGGAAGAACACCGGUGGCGAAGGCGGUUCUCUGGGCCUUACCUGACGCUGAGGAGCGAAAGCGUGGGGAGCGAACAGG